CUACGGGGGGCUCCAGUAGGGAAUUUUGCGCAAUGGGCGAAAGCCUGACGCAGCAACACCGCGUGUGGGAUGAAGCUUUUCGGAGUGUAAACCACUGUCAGUGGGGACGAAUAAAUGACGGUACCCACAGAGGAAGCACCGGCUAACUCCGUGCCAGCAGGCCGCGGUAAGACGGAGGGUGCAAGCGUUGUCCGGAAUUAUUGGGCGUAAAGCGUUCGUAGGCGGCAUGUCAAGUCUGAUGUUAAAGCCCGGAGCUCAACUCCGGUUCGGCAUUGGAUACUGGCAAGCUAGAGUGCAGAAGAGGCAAGGGGAAUUCCUAGUGUAGCGGUGAAAUGCGUAGAUAUUAGGAGGAACACCAGUUGCGUAAGCGCCUUGCUGGGCUGAAACUGACGCUGAGGGACGAAAGCCAGGGUAGCGAAUGGGAUUAGAUACCCCGGUAGUC
rnacentral:rRNA from 1 species